rnacentral:rRNA from 1 species
GAUGAACGCUGGCGGCGUGCUUAACACAUGCAAGUCGAACGGCGAAGCUCCAGCUUGCUGGAGUGGAUCAGUGGCGAACGGGUGAGUAACACGUGAGCAACCUGCCCCUGACUCUGGGAUAACAGCCGGAAACGGCUGCUAAUACCGGAUAUGCACCAUGAACGCAUGUUCUGUGGUGGGAAAGAUUUUUCGGUUGGGGAUGGGCUCGCGGCCUAUCAGCUUGUUGGUGAGGUAAUGGCUCACCAAGGCGUCGACGGGUAGCCGGCCUGAGAGGGUGACCGGCCACACUGGGACUGAGACACGGCCCAGACUCCUACGGGAGGCAGCAGUGGGGAAUAUUGCACAAUGGGCGAAAGCCUGAUGCAGCAACGCCGCGUGAGGGAUGACGGCCUUCGGGUUGUAAACCUCUUUUAGCAGGGAAGAAGCGAGAGUGACGGUACCUGCAGAAAAAGCGCCGGCUAACUACGUG